rnacentral:rRNA from 1 species
GACAGAGGGUGCAAACGUUGCUCGGAAUCACUGGGCGUAAAGGGCGUGUAGGCGGAUAGAUAAGUCGGGCGUGAAAGCCCCAGGCUCAACCUGGGAACUGCACUCGAAACUGUUUAUCUUGAGUGCCGGAGAGGAAAGCGGAAUACCUGGUGUAGAGGUGAAAUUCGUAGAUAUCAGGUGGAACACCAGUGGCGAAGGCGGCUUUCUGGACGGUGACUGACGCUGAGACACGAAAGCGUGGGUAGCAAACAGG